UUAUUUGAAAUGUAAAUUUAGUUAUCUGAGGUUAUUAUAAGUUAAGAUCUUUAAAAUUAAAAAAUUUGGCGGUAUUUUAGUCUAUUCAGAGGAACCUGUUUUUUAAUUGAUAGUCCACGAUAAUUUAUACUUUAAUUUUUAAUUUGCAUAUCGUCGUUUAUAAAGAUUUUAGGAGAAUUUUAAUCUUUAGAAUUUUUUAUUUUGAAGUAGUUCAGAUCAAGGUGCAGUUUAUAUUAAAGAUAAAAUGGGUUACAAUAGGUUUAUUUUUGGGUUUUGAUUUUAAAAAUUAAAUUAAAAUGGAUUUGACAGUAAAUUCUUUAUUUUUGGGAGUUGAUUAAGCCCUAAAAUAUGC
rnacentral:rRNA from 1 species